rnacentral:lncRNA from 1 species
CGAGAAAUAAAACUUCCCCGAUCCCAACUCCGCCUCUCUUCAAGUCUUCUUCCUAUUCCACCAUGAAAAAUAUUCUACCCCCAUUCGUCUUCCUCGCCAAAGUCUUUGCAAUUUGAAGUAAAAAAUCAAGGUUUUGUGUAUAAGGUUGAAGAAAGUGACAAAGAUCUAAAAGUUAAAGGUAAAGUUUUUUUUUUUUUUUUUUUUUUUUUCUUUUAUUGUAGUAUCUUGUAAUUUUUUUUUCGUGUUUAUGUAUGGGCGGGGAUUUUCACUAGGGUUCUUUGUUGGUUUUUUUUGUUGUAGAAAGUUUGGUUGGAUUUCAAAAAUUAGGGUUUAUUUGUUGCGUUUUCGUUCAUAUUUUUCAGUUUGUUUAGAUUCUUGUUUAUUUCAAUUUCUUCCCUAACCUCAUUUUUUUAUUCUAUAAAUUGGCAGAAAAGAUAAUUUGGUCGAUAAUCUGUUUCAAUCAUUUUAAGUAUACUUGGAUGAAUUGCCAUAUAUUUAAGUGUGUUCUGUUACUGCUUGAGACAGAAAUUUUAUUUUGAAUUUUUUUUGUCAAUUGAUUUGACUGCACUUGGUUUUGUUGCUACCAAGUUAGUUCUUGUUAUUAAUAGAAAUCACAAUACUAGCCAUCAUUUAAUUGCACUUGGUAUUUUAUUUGAGUCUAUUUGUAAAGAACAACUGUUGUUGGUAGACGUUUCUAUCAUCUUUUCAAGGUGUGUUCCUCUUUCAUGCAUCCCUUCUUAAGAUGAAAAGAGAGAGGUGCUUGACCCUUAAAAACUACUCUUUCAGACACUUGCUUUACUAGGUUUUCUUAAACUUUGCUUUGACUCUAAAAUCUUCUUCAUUUCAAUGGGUUGUACAGUUUUUUUUAUUUUCCUUGUGCUACUUGCAAAUGACCAGCCUAUAUAUAUAGGCCAUCCCUUAUACUUUCAGACCAAUUUGUGUUCCAGACUCUUGGUGAUUAGAAAUUUAGAAUCAUAGAUUUUAAUUCAAGUGGCCAACAAGUUGAAUUGUUAGGAGAAACAAACCCGACCUUGUGGUUUAUAGGCCAUGUUGUUAUGCAUCAGCUGUUCCUGCAACUGGCCAGUAGAAGAAAUACGAUGACAUGAAUACGUGUUAUUCACAUGAACUGAGUCAACUAACAGACCAAAACACUAUGUGUAUAGGAAGAAUGAAUUACAUUGGAUGAGAGGAGUAACAUGAUGGUCAGAAUUAUAUAGACCUCAGAGCAGAGGUACCAUCGUCCAUCAAGGAAUAGGUCUGAUAGGGACUUCAGACCACGUAAAAAAUUCAAGGUGGCGGAUGGUCGAGGAUGUUUGGUUUGGUUCAUUACUUCAGAUUUUUCCUGAAACUAUAUUUGAAACUUUGAAUUCAUUUGCUCAACUAGGCAUCUUCUGAUAUUAAUUAGUGUUCCUAUUAGUGGUUCACAUUUUGCUCAACUUCUGAAUGCAUGAAUGUCUAUUAUGUGGGCUAUCAAAACUAUAGCAGAACAUGGAUGUCAAAUAUUUUUGGAUGAAAUAAGCUAAUCGAAUAGUUGGCAGGUGAUAGAACAGUAUAGGUGCUCAUGAACUGUCGAGGCAUUGUUUUUAAAUUUCUUUAUAACAUGGCAAUCAAUAUAUUUGUUGUUUAAUGAAUUAAUUUUGGUUUAGUACAAAACUGUCAACGUGGUGGUUGAAAGUCUUGGAAUGGCUUUGAUAUACCAUAGAUGGUAUAAUUAGGAAAAAAUGAUUUGCAUUUAAUAGAGGUUUGGAAAAUGUCGUCAGGGUGAUGGCAUGUGUGUUUGAAAGGGACUCAAGAGGGGAUUGAGUAGGGAUAUUCCUGGAACUCCUUUGGCUAGAUUCACUUUUGCAGUUCAUGCAAUUAAUGUUAGUUUCAAAGAGUUUCAUAUAAUAAGCUCAUUGUAUUUUUGUCAUUUUUUAUUUUUAAAUUGUGUUAAUUAGAAUGUUAUAUCUCAAUCUUGUGUAAUGAAUGGCUAUGGACAUGGGGUUGCUCAAGUAUGGUUUCUAAAAGCAUUCCAUGACUUUUUUUAUUUAUUAUUUGGAAGAAUUAUGGGUUGAGGCAGACCCUAACCUGUAUUAGAAAAAUCUACCAUAAAUAGUUAUAAUAUCCUCCCUUACAAUGUUUGACAAAUUCUGAUUAAGGGGAGGAGUAAAACAAAUAAAAUUACACAAGUCCGACUUGUCUAGGGAGGCUAACAGAUCUGCAACCCUGUUUAUCUCUCUCUAUAUGUGUGCGAAACUUAUACUUCCACACUUCCUUGGAUUAAUCCUGAUAGAAGCUAUAAGAUCCUUGCAGUACUAUGGUAUAGUAUGUUUAGAUGAUAUCCAGCUUCAAUACACAGCCUAGCACAACUUCCAAAGCUUUAAGCUUCUGGUAGAUAAUAGAAUGCCUACUCCCACUGCCAUGAAAGCAAAAGACAACCUCUCCAUUUGCAUAUCUGACUAUGCUCCCAACUUCCAAAGCUUUAAGCAUUCCAUGACUUUGAGUCAGGGGAAGUUGUAGAUAUUACUGCAUUGAUUUCCGAUAGGUGGUGUUUGCAAAGUAGUUCCAUUAUAUAAUAUAUAGAAUACUUACUGCCCUAUUCUUGUUAAUACAUUCUACUUGUUCAAUUAUUUUAAAGCUUUCUUUUAUUGAUUCAGGUUGAUAAUUUUCAUGGGGUUGAAUCUAGUAUCUCUUGGUAUGUCUAGGCUCCUUAUGUUAUUUAUGUGUUUGCAUGUUGUUCACUAAGAGCUAGAAUAACUGAAAUGGUUUGUGUAUCUGUUUGCAGCUUGCAGUUGUAGUAAGCCAUGCUACACUAGUAUUCGUUUAUACAUUUACUUAAUUUUAUAUUCAAGUGAGUUGUGUGUCUUAGUGAUUAUUCUGUUCUAAAUCUCAUGAACUUUUUUUUUCUUAUGUUUGUCCAGUAACUUCUUUGCGCAAUUGGCUUUAAUUAUCAAGACAUAGACAGUUCUAUGCUUCUAAGGUCGUGUUUUAUGGUUAUAGGUGCUAUAAGGUUAGCUACAGACUCGAAGAGAUGGACCUGAGCAUCUGAUGUUCAACCAUUCAAAGUUUCUACUGUAUACAGAGUAUCAUUCUUAGGUCCUCAAUUGUCUAUUCUCAGGGGCAGUAGCAAGGUGAUUAGUUUAUGGAGCUUUAACUAGUAGAGCAUUCUCUUCCUUUCAAGGGCAGCAUUGACUUUGGAACUCUAUUUAACAUGAACGGUAAAU